rnacentral:rRNA from 1 species
GAUGAACGCUGGCGGCGUGCCUAAUACAUGCAAGUCGAGCGAACGGACGAGAAGCUUGCUUCUCUGAUGUUAGCGGCGGACGGGUGAGUAACACGUGGAUAACCUACCUAUAAGACUGGGAUAACUUCGGGAAACCGGAGCUAAUACCGGAUAAUAUUUUGAACCGCAUGGUUCAAAAGUGAAAGACGGUCUUGCUGUCACUUAUAGAUGGAUCCGCGCUGCAUUAGCUAGUUGGUAAGGUAACGGCUUACCAAGGCAACGAUGCAUAGCCGACCUGAGAGGGUGAUCGGCCACCCUGGAACUUAGACACGGUCCAGACUCCUACGGGAGGCAGCAGUAGGGAAUCUUCCGCAAUGGGCGAAAGCCUGACGGAGCAACGCCGCGUGAGUGAUGAAGGUCUUCGGAUCGUAAAGCUCUGUUAUUAGGGAAGAACAUAUGUGUAAGUAACUGUGCCCAUCUUGACGGUACCUAAUCAGAAAGCCCCGGCUAACUACGUG